rnacentral:misc_RNA from 1 species
ACAAACUUGGUCAUUUAGAGGAAGUAAAAGUCGUAACAAGGUCUCCGUUGGUGAACCAGCGGAGGGAUCAUUAUAGAGGAUUAAAAACCCCCUAAAACCCACUGUGAACAUACCUAUCGUUGCUUCGGCGGGAUCGCCCCGGCGCCUCUGUGCCCGGAGUCAGGCGCCCGCCGGAGGCCCAAAAAACCAUUUUGUAUUUCGUGGCAUUCUCUGAGUGGUACAAAACAUAUAAAUCAAAACUUUCAACAACGGAUCUCUUGGCUCUGGCAUCGAUGAAGAACGCAGC